AGAGUUUGAUCAUGGCUCAGGAUGAACGCUGGCGGCGUGCUUAACACAUGCAAGUCGAACGAGGUCCAUGGAGCUUGCUCCGGAAGACCUAGUGGCGAACGGGUGCGUAACACGUGAGAAACCUGCCCCGAUCUCUGGGAUAACAGUUGGAAACGACUGCUAAUACCGGAUGCCGUCACACCGCUUCAUGGCGGAGUGCCGAAAGAUUUAUCGGAUCGGGAGGGUCUCGCGGCCUAUCAGCUAGUUGGAGAGGUAACGGCUCACCAAGGCAUCGACGGGUAGCUGGUCUGAGAGGAUGAUCAGCCACACUGGGACUGAGACACGGCCCAGACUCCUACGGGAGGCAGCAGUGGGGAAUCUUGCACAAUGGGCGAAAGCCUGAUGCAGCAACGCCGCGUGCGGGAAGAAGGCCCUAGGGUUGUAAACCGCUUUCAGUAGGGAAGAAAAUGACGGUACCUACAGAAGAAGGUGCGGCCAACUACGUGCCAGCAGCCGCGGUGACACGUAGGCACCAAGCGUUAUCCGGAUUUAUUGGGCGUAAAGAGCUCGUAGGCGGUUUGGUAAGUCGGGUGUGAAAACUCUGGGCUCAACCCAGAGAGGCCACCCGAUACUGCUAUGACUAGAGUACGGUAGGGGAGCGGGGAAUUCAUGGUGUAGCGGUGAAAUGCGCAGAUAUCAUGAGGAACACCAGCGGCGAAGGCGCCGCUCUGGGCCGUAACUGACACUGAGGAGCGAAAGCAUGGGUAGCAAACAGGAUUAGAUACCCUGGUAGU
rnacentral:rRNA from 1 species